GAUGAACGCUGGCGGCGUGCUUAACACAUGCAAGUCGAACGAUGAAGCCUAGCUUGCUGGGUGGAUUAGUGGCGAACGGGUGAGUAACACGUGAGUAACCUGCCCUUAACUCUGGGAUAAGCCUGGGAAACUGGGUCUAAUACCGGAUAGGAGCGUCCACCGCAUGGUGGGUGUUGGAAAGAUUUAUCGGUUUUGGAUGGACUCGCGGCCUAUCAGCUUGUUGGUGAGGUAAUGGCUCACUAAGGCGACGACGGGUAGCCGGCCUGAGAGGGUGACCGGCCACACUGGGACUGAGACACGGCCCAGACUCCUACGGGAGGCAGCAGUGGGGAAUAUUGCACAAUGGGCGAAAGCCUGUUGCAGCGACGCCGCGUGAGGGAUGACGGCCUUCGGGUUGUAAACCUCUUUCAGUAGGGAAGAAGCGAAAGUGACGGUACCUGCAGAAGAAGCACCGGCUAACUACGUG
rnacentral:rRNA from 1 species